rnacentral:rRNA from 1 species
GGGUCAGUAGGUUGGUCAUGCCACUGGUAUGUACUGGUCUCACUGAUUCCUCCUUCCUGAUGAACUGUAAUGCCAUUAAUUUGGUGUUGCAGGGAGUCUGGACUGUUACUUUGAAAAAAUUAGAGUGCUUAAAGCAGGUUAUCGCCUGAAUACAUUAGCAUGGAAUAAUGAAAUAUGACGGCAUGGUUCUAUUUUGUUGGUUUCUAGGAUCACCGUA